CCUACGGGAGGCAGCAGUGGGGAAUAUUGCACAAUGGGCGCAAGCCUGAUGCAGCGACGCCGCGUGAGGGAUGACGGCCUUCGGGUUGUAAACCUCUUUCAGUAGGGAAGAAGCGAAAGUGACGGUACCUGCAGAAGAAGCGCCGGCUAACUACGUGCCAGCAGCCGCGGCAAUACGUAGGGCGCAAGCGUUAAUCCGGAAUUAUUGGGCGUAAAGAGCUCGUAGGCGGUUUGUCGCGUCUGCUGUGAAAGACCGGGGCUCAACUCCGGUUCUGCAGUGGGUACGGGCAGACUAGAGUGCAGUAGGGGAGACUGGAAUUCCUGGUGUAGCGGUGAAAUGCGCAGAUAUCAGGAGGAACACCGAUGGCGAAGGCAGGUCUCUGGGCUGUAACUGACGCUGAGGAGCGAAAGCAUGGGGAGCGAACAGGAUUAGAUACCCUGGUAGUCCAUGCCGUAAACGUUGGGCACUAGGUGUGGGGGACAUUCCACGUUUUCCGCGCCGUAGCUAACGCAUUAAGNGCCCGCCGUGGGAGGACGCGCGAGAGUUAAACUUAAAGUAGUUAGUUAGAGNGNGAGNGCGACGACGACGACGAGGAGAG
rnacentral:rRNA from 1 species